GGCUUCAUAUAUGUGACGUCAAAUCAGCUGGGUGGAGGAGCAGAGAAGUGGGAGCCGGGAAUCGAGGCGAGCGCGAGGGACGGUUUCUCGGGGACAGUGCCGAAAGUUCAUUUAAUAUUAUUAUUCCAUCAGUUUAUGAUAAAGUAAGUGGAUUUGUAAAGUAUGUGGAUUUGUUCAGUGUCAAUCUUUCAAAAUCUAUGACCAGCGCCUUUGGUAACAGCUACCACUACCAUUUUUGUCAAAAAUAAACUUUUAAAUCUUCAUAUUUAUAUUUUUCUAAUAAACCAUCCCACCCACUGCAUUACAAAUGUACUAAAUGAACAGUUUGAUGAAUGUUUCCAUCCAUCACAAGAUCAAUCAGUAGAUGAAAGCAUGAUAAAAUUCAAAGGUAGGUGCUCAUACAAACAAUAUAUGCCCGUGAAGCCAACAAAGAGGGGCUACAAAGUGUGGGUUAGAGCAGAUGACAAGGGUCAUAUCUCUGUUUCAAAUCUACACUGGUAAAAAAUCUUAGAAUGCAAAGCCUUCCAAAUAUUUAGGGUGAAGUGGGAGAAUUAUCUUCAAAACUAGAGGGAAGAUACUUCAAGAUAUAUGGUGAUAAUUUCUUUUCCUCUGUUGCUCUUGCGAAAUGUUUGUCAGAAGAAUGUAUUGGCUGUUGUGGAACUAAGAGAUCAAUUUAAUAGAAAAUAAAAUUUCUCAGAUGAAAAUGCAACUCGAACUCCACUCGUGACUUCUGGCAUCUGGCUAAAAACAUUUCCAAUAACUUCACUUCUUCAUCUUUACCUCCUUUAUUUCAUCCUGAUGGCACCACUUUUGCUGUCGCGUUCUAUUGCAGCCGUGGUGGACGGUCACUGCUCUUCUAGAUCUAUUAACAGUGGUGUUCCUCAGGGUUCUGUCCUAUCUCUUUUUAUUUUCAUUAAUGACCUUCUUAACCAAGCUUCUUGCCCUAUCCACUCCUACGCUGAUGAUACCACCCUACAUCUUUCCAUGUCACAUCCCAAACAACGCUACUCUGAGGAAACGUUUUCAAAUAUUGUUGUGUUUGCCAAAACAAUGCAAAAUAUAAAUAUUUAGAAGUAAAGAUAGAUUACACUAAUUUGCCUUUUUCGAGCAUCACAUUGUGUAUGUACUACAACACCAUUCAAUUUCGAAGUAUUAAGUACCUGACUUGAGGUGCGUAUUGGUACAAGUGUGACACCGCCGUAGGCCGGGAAAUCCCCGAAAAAGCCAACGCCUAAACAAUCUUGAUCGCCGCCCGCUACACUUCACCGCUGUUUCGUCUGUCUCCUCUGUAAAGCAUGGAUGAGGCGUGAGUGAGCGUUGGUUAGGUGCUUAGAUGAUUGCUCUAACUGAUGCCACCCUUCGUAGUGUGAAAGGUGCUGUGUGACCUGUGAGCUGCGUGGUAGUGGAAUGAAUGCUGCGCUAUAGUGGGAGAAGCAGCGGCAUGGGGAAGUGCUGUUUGCUACCUGCCAGUUAGUUGCAGCCGGGCCACACACAAGGAAGGGCGUCCAUUCGCUGUACUCUUGUGUGUUCUUUGUGGCGAAUAAACCAGAAAAGAAGGUGUCCCUGCCUGUCCUUCCUGCCCUGAGUGAGCACCGGAGUCUGACUGUUAAGUCCAGCGCCCAAAAGUGACCUGCGCCCCGUGAACUGAGCGACCCCUACGCGUUGAUGGUCCCGCUGCACAACGACCAUUCCAUUCGCCGCUCCUGCCUGACGUGACGCCGCGUCGGCCCUUCCCGCCACCGCCGCUAUCAUCCGCUCGACGCCUCCCACCACCACCAGCAAUAGCACCAGCAGCAGCCCACUAACCAGGAACGCUGACGACGUGGUGCUGGUGCAGCGUGUGAGGCUGGGCUGCUGCACCAGGGAGGAGCUGCAUGACGGCUUCCAGGGUGAGGAGGGCGGUAAGGGCGCCACCCCCACCUCACUAACACAGCUGCCCGCCACAGCUGCGGCAGCUCAGAGGAUGGAGAGCAAGCAGCUCAUCAUCUCGCCACUCCACCGGCGGCGGGCUGGUGCCUCAUUGGAGUAUUUGAAUGUACAUGUAGUCUGUCAUUGUGUAUAUAUCUAUGUACGUAUGUAUAUCUUGUAGACUAUUGGUCAAUAAACCUUUAACAAGUAA
rnacentral:lncRNA from 1 species